UAAUAUCCAUCUCGUAUGGAUUAAAGCUUUAUGCGCUUUGGGAGGGGCCUGCGUAACAUUAGCUUGUUGGUGAGGUAAAAGCUCACCAAGGCUUCGAUGUUUAACUGGUUUGAGAGGAUGACCAGUCACACUGGGACUGAGAUACGGCCCAGACUCCUACGGGAGGCAGCAGUAAGGAAUCUUCCACAAUGGGGGCAACCCUGAUGGAGCAAUACCGCGUGCAGGAUGAAGCGUUUCGGCGUGUAAACUGCUUUUAUCACCGAAGAUUAUGACUGUAGGUGAAGAAUAAGGACCGGCUAACUACGUG
rnacentral:rRNA from 1 species